UCGAUGGUCGAUCCGAGGUUCUCAGAAUACUUCCGAUCGCCUUAGACCAACAACCAAAGAACACCAACACUCCUAUCAGAUAUCACUCUAGGCUUUUCAACCCGAAGAAGCAAUACCCGAUAGUUAGUUUGUCCGGACAAGGACUAAUAUCAUUUGGAACCCGUACUUAAAAAAAAAAAACAUUCUUUAUAUAUCAAUCAAAAGCAUCUUACAAAAUUUGUUAUAAAUUAACCUCGAGGUUUUUGGUCAACAAAUCUUAUACAUAAGAUAUAUCAAAAUGACUUUGCAAGGAU
rnacentral:lncRNA from 1 species